rnacentral:rRNA from 1 species
UGGUCAAGCUACUAAGGGCACAUAACGGAUGCCUUGGCUCUGAUAGGCGAUGAAGGACGCGUCAAGCAGCGAUAAGCCCCGGGGAGCAGCAAUAAUGCUUUGAUCCGGGGGUUUCCGAAUGGGGGAACCCAACAGAAGUAAUGUUCUGUUAUCCUUAACUGAAUACAUAGGUUAAGGAAGCGAUACCCAGGGAAGUGAAACAUCUCAGUACCUGGAGGAAAAGAAAUCAAUUGAGAUUCCGCAAGUAGUGGCGAGCGAACGCGGAACAGCCUAAACCACUGUGUUUACACGGUGGUGUUGCGGGACCCGGAUACGGUAUAACAAAGGUUAGUCGAAUGUUUUGGAAUGUUCAACCACAGAAGGUGAAAGUCCUGUAAACGAAAACCUGAGUUAACCCACGGGUAUCCCAAGUAGGGCGGAACACGUGAAACUCCGUCUGAAACUGGGGGGCCCACCCUCCAAGGCUAAAUACUAAUCAGAGACCGACAGCGCAUAGUACCGUGAGGGAAAGGUGAAAAAGUACCCCGAGAGGGGAGUGAAAAGUACCUGAAAUUAUGUGCCUACAAAGUGUAGGAGCUGGAAUUUAUUCUGGUGACUGCAUGCCUUUUGCAUAAUGAGUCUGCGACUUACUCCUAUAUGGCAAGGUUAAGCCUUGGGCGCAGCCGCAGCGAAAGCGAGUGUUAAUAGCGCGUUUAGUCAUAUGGGGUAGACCCGAAACCAAGUGAUCUAUCCAUGGUCAGGUUGAACCCUCUGUAACAGGAGGUGGAGGACCGAACCAGUACAUGUUGAAAAAUGUUUGGAUGAACUGUGGAUAGGGGUGAAAGGCCAAUCAAACUUGGUGAUAGCUGGUUCUUUUCGAAAUAGCUUUAGGGCUAGCCUUGUGUAAUAGUUAUCGGGGGUAGAGCUCUGAUUGUUCACGGGCCCUUACCGGGGUACCAACAACUAUCAAACUACGAAUACCGGUAACCGUAUCACAGGAGUCAGACUGUGGGGGCUAAGCUCCAUAGUCGAAAGGGAAACAGCCCAGACUGCCGUCUAAGGUCCCUAAUCUAAACUAAGUGGAUUGAAGGAGGUGGAGUUGCGUAAACAGCCAGGAUGUUGGCUCAGAGGCAGCCAUCAUUUAAAGAGUGCGUAAUAGCUCACUGGUCGAGUGAUUCUGCGCCGAAGAUGAUCGGGACUAAAGUUUAGAACCGAAGACGCAGGUGUACAAUUUAUUGUACGCGGUAGAAAAGCGUUGUAUGUGGGGUGAAGUCGAAGCGGAAGCGACGGUGGACCGCAUACAAGUGACCAUGCAGACAUGAGUAGCGAAAAACCAGGUGAGAAUCCUGGUCACCGAAAGCCUAAGGUUUCCUGGGGAAGGUUCGUCCGCCCAGGGUUAGUCAGUCCCUAAGGCGAGGCCGAAAGGCGUAGUCGAUGGACAAAAGGUUAAUAUUCCUUUACCACCUUAUCUGAGCGAUGGAGGGACGCAGUAAGCUAAGUCAGCUGCCGAUUGAAUGUGGCAGUCUAAGGUCGUAGGGCGUUAGGUAGGCAAAUCCGCCUAACAUUAAGCCUGAGAACCGGGGACACGGAGUCUACGGACAAAGUGGAUUGGCUGAUGCUACACUGACGAGAAAAGCUUCUAAGUGUUGAAGAUAGGGUGACUGUACCACAAACCGACACAGGUAGGCGAGGCGAGAAGCCUAAGGUGCGCGAGAGAAACCACGUUAAGGAACUCGGCAAAUUAGCCCCGUAACUUCGGGAGAAGGGGUGCCGCAUGAGGUGAAGAGACUUGCUCUCAGAGCUGAAAGCGGUUGCAACAAAGAGGCUCGGGCGACUGUUUAGCAAAAACAUAGCACUCUGCUAACUCGCAAGAGGAUGUAUAGGGUGUGACACGUGACCAAUGCCGAAAGGUUAAAUGGAGGGGUUAGCGUAAGCGAAGCUCUAAAAUGAAGCCCCGGUGAAUGUCGGCCGUAACUAUAACGGUCCUAAGGUAGCGAAAUUCCUUGUCGGGUAAGUUCCGACCCGCACGAAUCGUGUAACGAUCUGAGCACUGUCUCAACGUGGAUCUCGGCGAAGUUGUAAUUCCGGUGAAAAUGCCGGAUACCUGCAGUAGGACGGAAAGACCCCGUGAACCUUUACUGUAAUCUGAUAUUGGUAUUUGGUUAUUCUUGUGUAGCAUAGGUGGGAGGCUGUGAAACAGUCACGUCAGUGAUUGUGGAGCCAUUAGUGAAAUACCACCCUUGGCUAGUUGAAUAUCUAACUGUCGCCCGUGAAUCCGGGUGCAGGACAGUGUCAGAGGGUCAGUUUGACUGGGGCGGUUUCCUCCAAAAGAGUAACGGAGGAGCUCGAAGGUACACUCAGCAUGGUUAGCAAUCAUGCGUAGAGCGUAAGGGUAGAAGUGUGCUUUACUGUAAGACCGACAGGUCGAGCAGUUGCGAAAGCAGGACCUAGUGAUCCAGCGGUGGAAAGUGGAAUCGCCGUUGCUCAUCGGACAAAAGGUACUCCGGGGAUAACAGGCUAAUAGCGCCCAAGCGUCCAUAGCGACGGCGCUGUUUGGCACCUCGAUGUCGGCUCAUCACAUCCUGGGGCUGAAGAAGGUCCCAAGGGUUAGGCUGUUCGCCUAUUAAAGUGGUACGCGAGCUGGGUUCAGAACGUCGUGAGACAGUUCGGUCCUUAUCCACUGCAGGCGCAGGAUAUUUGAUGGAGACAUUCCCUAGUACGAGAGGACCGGGAAUGAGUAACCUCUGGUGUUCCAAUUGUGUCGUCAGAUGCAUUGUUGGGUAGCUAUGUUACGAAAGGAUAAGCGCUGAAAGCAUCUAAGCGCCAAGCCCUUCCAAAGACGAGAUAUCCCUUUCUCUUUAGAGAACUAAAGGCAGGUUGAAGACUACAACCUCGAUAGGCCGGACGUGUAAGUGCAGCAAUGUAUUCAGCUUACCGGUACUAAUCAGCCGUGAGGCUUGACCACC